GGUUUACAUGUAUGGUUAGUUGUAAACUGAUCUCUAUGAAAUGGAUUUGUUUACUUUAAACUUUCUCAAGUAGAGGAAUUCCUAUGAGAUAGGAAUAUUAGUUUAUACUUUCUUAAAGUUCAUAAGAGUUAGUAUAUUGGUUAGUUUAGUUGAUUCAACCCUAGCUUUGCAAAAGAUUAAAAGUUUAUUGGGAUGUUAUUUAUAGCUAAUUCUUCUUAUCUAGUUAUCCAAUCUUAUUUUAGAAUCUUGCUAUUAUGAAGGUGACAGUAGCAAUGAUAGAUAAGUGAGCAAGAGUUUCUACAUCGUUAAGCGUAUCAGGUUAAGCUGUGAUGCAGAUGGAGGCGAGCAGAGCAAAGCUUUUGAAGUAUAAGUAUUAAAUUAGGCUCAGGAUUCCAUGUCUUCAUACAUGUAAUCCACUUAAGUAUUUCCGCUGCAACACUUAGUGUAUUUUACUUUAUUGAUGUGUUGUAUAGAUUUUAAAUCAAUAGCUUUGAGAAUUAUGUCACUGGAAAAUUUGACAACUUGUCGUUGUGUUAUUGUGAGUUGUCUGCCUAAGCAGUUUAGAAAAGAUUGCUCAUGAGUUUUAAAAGUGAUUUGCUCAUGAUUAUUCAAUACUAAAGUAAUUCAUCGUUAAAGAGGGUUCAUUAUUAUUA